rnacentral:rRNA from 1 species
GACGAACGCUGGCGGCGUGCCUAAUACAUGCAAGUCGAACGCAGUGGGGACGGGUGAGUAACAUGUGGGUAACCUCCCAUCAGAGGGGAUAACAUUUGGAAACAGGUGCUAAACCGAUACUGUUGGCUGGACGCGGGGUGCAUUAGCCAGUUGGUGAGGUAACGUGGCACCAAGGCCACGAUGCAUAGCCGACCUGAGAGGGGGAUCGGCAACACUGGGACUGAGACACGGCCCAGACUCCUACGGGAGGCAGCAGUGGGGAAUAUUCGGCAAUGGGCGAAAGUCUGACCGAGCAAUGCCGCGUGAGUGAAGAAGGCUUUCGGAUCGUAAAGCACUGUUAGUAGAGAGGCGUUACCUAACCAGAAAGCAACGGCUAACUACGUGCCAGCAGCCGCGGUAAUAC